AUUGAACGCUGGCGGCAGGCCUAACACAUGCAAGUCGAACGAGUGGCGGACGAGUGAGUAAUGUCUGGGAAACUGCCCGAUGGAGGGGGAUAACUACUGGAAACGGUAGCUAAUACCGCAUACCAUCGGGUGGGCCACGAUGGGAUUAGCUAGUAGGUGGGGUAACGGCUCACCUAGGCGACGAUCCCUAGCUGGUCUGAGAGGAUGACCAGCCAAACGUGAACUUAGACACGGUCCAGACUCCCACGGGAGGCAGCAGGGGGGAAUAUUGCCAAAUGGGCGCAAGCCUGAUGCAGCCAUGCCGCGUUGAUGAAGAAGGCCGUCCGGUUGUAAAGUACUUUCAGCGAGUAGGCGUUACUCGCAGAAGAAGCACCGGCUAACUCCGUGCCAGCAGCCGCGGUAAUAC
rnacentral:rRNA from 1 species